rnacentral:tRNA from 1 species
UCCGAUAUGGUCUAGUGGCUAGGAUUUGCCGCUCUCAUUCGCAGAGUUAGUUCGCUACAGCGCCGGCAAGGCCCGGGUUCGAUUCCCGGUGUCGGAA